rnacentral:misc_RNA from 1 species
UUUCCGUAGGUGAACCUGCGGAAGGAUCAUUAUUGUAUAACCGAGGUGCGAGUGCUGUCGCUGACCCGAAAGGUCGUGCACGCCCGAGUGCCCUCACACACAUCCAUCUCACCCCUAUGUGCACCACCGCGUGCGUCCCCCUUUGGCUUGUUCGGAGGGGGGCUUACGUUUUCACACAAACUUUGUAUGCAGUGUAGAAUGUAUUUUUUGUUUUUGCGAUCACGCAAUCAAUACAACUUUCAACAACGGAUCUCUUGGCUCUC